GCGGGUAUGGCGUAAUUGGCAGCCGCGCCAGACUUAGGAUCUGGUGGAGAAAUCCGUGAAGGUUCGAGUCCUUUUACCCGCA
rnacentral:tRNA from 1 species